rnacentral:rRNA from 1 species
AGAGUUUGAUCAUGGCUCAGGACGAACGCUGGCGGCGUGCUUAACACAUGCAAGUCGAACGGAAAGGCCCGCUUGCGGGUACUCGAGUGGCGAACGGGUGAGUAACACGUGGGCAACCUGCCCUCAGCUCUGGGAUAACUCCGGGAAACCGGUGCUAAUACUGGAUAUCGACUUCUGCCUCGCAUGGGGUGUUGUUGAAAGUUUUUCGGCUGGGGAUGGGCCCGCGGCCUAUCAGCUUGUUGGUGGGGUGAUGGCCUACCAAGGCGACGACGGGUAGCCGGCCUGAGAGGGCGACCGGCCACACUGGGACUGAGACACGGCCCAGACUCCUACGGGAGGCAGCAGUGGGGAAUAUUGCGCAAUGGGCGGAAGCCUGACGCAGCGACGCCGCGUGAGGGAUGACGGCCUUCGGGUUGUAAACCUCUUUCAGCUCUGACGAAGCGAGAGUGACGGUAGGAGCAGAAGAAGCACCGGCCAACUACGUGCCAGCAGCCGCGGUAAUACGUAGGGUGCAAGCGUUGUCCGGAAUUAUUGGGCGUAAAGAGCUCGUAGGCGGUUUGUCGCGUCGAAUGUGAAAACCCGGGGCUCAACCCCGGGCCUGCAUUCGAUACGGGCAGACUAGAGUUCGGUAGGGGAGUCUGGAAUUCCUGGUGUAGCGGUGAAAUGCGCAGAUAUCAGGAGGAACACCGGUGGCGAAGGCGGGACUCUGGGCCGAUACUGACGCUGAGGAGCGAAAGCGUGGGGAGCAAACAGGAUUAGAUACCCUAGUAGUCC